UACGAGGGGUGCAAGCGUUGCUCGGAAUUAUUGGGCGUAAAGGGUAGGUAGGUGGUCUCGUUUGUCUGGGGUGAAAUCCUUGAGCUUAACUCAAGAAGUGCCCUAGAAACGGCGAGACUGGAGUACUGGAGAGGGUCGUGGAAUUCCCGGUGUAGCGGUGAAAUGCGCAGAUAUCAGGAGGAACACCGGUGGCGAAGGCGGUUCUCUGGGAAUAUCCUGACGCUGAGGAGCGAAAGUGUGGGGAGCGAACAGG
rnacentral:rRNA from 1 species